rnacentral:rRNA from 1 species
UACGUAGGGACCUAGCGUUGUCCGGAAUCAUUGGGCGUAAAGCGCGUGUAGGCGGCUUGCCAAGUCCGGUGUGAAAUGUCGGGGCUUAACCCCGGAACUGCACUGGAAACUGGCUUGCUUGAGUCCGGAAGAGGGGACUGGAAUUCCUGGUGUAGCGGUGAAAUGCGCAGAUAUCAGGAAGAACACCCGUGGCGAAGGCGGGUCCCUGGGACGGUACUGACGCUGAGACGCGAAAGCGUGGGGAG